rnacentral:rRNA from 1 species
UAGCUUAAAGUUUAUUUUUAGGUGAGACCUGCUCAAUGAAGAUGUAGAUUAUUUAAAUAGCCGCAGUACUUUGACUGUGCUAAGGUAGCAUAAUAAAUUGGCUUUUAAUUGAAGUCUGGAAUGAAAGGUAAAUUUGAAAAAGAUUGUCUCUAAUUAGAUUUAUUAAACUUACUUAAUAGGUGAAAAUUCCUAUGUUUUUCAUAAUAGACGAGAAGACCCUAAGAAUUAUUAAAAAUAAGUUUAUUUUACUUUAAUUUUUUGUUGGGGCAACAACUUUGAACAUAAAACCAAAGGGUUAAAGAUUCUAAGACAAAUUUUAUUUUGAAAAAAAUUAAUUACCUUAGGGAUAACAGCAUAAUUUUCUUUUUAGAUUGUGACCUCGAUGUUGGAUUAAGGACCCCUUAGGUAAGCCACUUAAGAGAAUAGUUCUGUUCGAACUUUAUAUCCUU